rnacentral:rRNA from 1 species
AGUGAACGCUGGCGGCGUGCCUAAUACAUGCAAGUCGAACGGAGUGGCGCACGGGUGAGUAAUAUAUAGCUAAUCUGCCCCUUGCUGGCGGACAACAGUUAGAAAUGCCUGCUAAUACUCCAUAGGAAGGGAUGAGACUAUAUCGUAUCAGCUAGUCGGUGGGGUAACGGCCUACCGAGGCUAUGACGCGUACCUGGUCUGAGAGGAUGAUCAGUCACAUUCACACUGAAUCACAAUCCCAACUCCUACUGAAAUGAACAGUAGUGAAUAUUUCGCAAUGGGGGAAACCCUGACACAUCAACGCCCCUUAGUGGAUGACACUUUUCGGAGCGUAAACUCCUUUUGUUAGGGAAGCGGUACCUAACGAAUAAGCACCGGCUAACUCCGUGCCAGCAGCCGCGGUAAUAC